rnacentral:lncRNA from 1 species
AAAAGAGACCGGUAGCGAGGCAGAAGCAAUGCUAGCUUCUACCUGUUCUGGUCACUACUUGGAUGAUCAUGGUUGUCACAGAGACCCUGGCAUCGUGCCCAUGACUGUCACAGCUAGAAUGUCUGCUAUUAUUUGGGUGGAAAGUUUCAGGACACAAGUAGUCAUUGGAAAUGGAAAUGUUCUUGUUACCAGCAUUUGAAAAGUUGAGUUGCACCUUGUGAUGCUUCCAGAAGGCAUCUUUCCAAUUAUGUGGUAUGUCCAGUGUUCCAACACGAACCACAGAUUCCCCCAAGGUCACCUUCCUGCACUCUUCUGGAAUGUCCACAGGAAAGACCAUGAAGAGCCAAAGGGAGUGGAUGGAACCUUCUUGUACAAAAGGCCCUCUGCAUUCUCUGCCCAGCUAUGAGAGGACAGUCCUUCGCCAGACUCUGUUGUGAGCUGUCCACACCACUCAUAUUUGGCUCCAUCACCUCUCCCAUCCACUAAAUUCUUCAUGUUCCUUUCCAACCUCACCUUAAGUGUUUCAGCGCCAUAUCUUCCUCCUGAAUCAGAGUAAAGUAAGAAUAUGUUCAUGUUUUAUAAAUAUAUUAAACAACCUAAAUUCUAGCAGAUUUUAAUUUGUUAACAAUAUCCAUCCAUUCUCUUAUAACCAACAUCCCCAUUUUCAGAAGCAACUCUCUUUUAUGUAAAUUAACCCAUUUAUUGCAGACUGGGUGAGUCUCAGACAGUAACACUUCUACUAGUCUUUCUGUUCCUUCAACCUUCUGAUGGCCG